CAUCAAUGUUUUCAUUGCAGAGCUGCAGGUAAACUCUAUGAUAGCAUGAUGAUGGAACUCAGAGUUCGGGUCAUCAAUGAGAAGAUUUCGACUAAUACUGCCAUAUCUCAAAAGCCAUGACUCUAAGUCUGUGUCUGCCUCUGUCAGUGUCAAACCGCCAACAAUAACUGCGUUUGAGAUGUUUACAUCCUCUUUCUCAAUGAUAUCCAUGAUGUUAAAGUUCUGUUCAAUAUGUUAUCUUUCUAGUGAACUCAGCUGCUCUAAUCAGCCACUGCUGUUGCAAUCUCUCUCCUGGCUGGCUCGCCACUUUCUGUAACACGUCACACCCAAAUAUCUUGCAAGUUAUUUUAUCAAUGGACCAGUAAGUUCAGCAUUCUAGGUUCGUCCGAGAAGAGAGAUGUGCGACAGCAGUGAACCACUCAGAUACAGGGGUUGAGACUUAUGGCAAUAUCACUCGUCAAGGAAUGUUCACAACCUCCAACCAAUGGGCGGCUCGCCAGUCCAAACUCCACCGUUAUGUGCACAGGAGAGAGUUGAGACAGUUCACAAUCCAGGAAAAGGUUCACACUUCACUUGAUUCGUAUCCAGAACAGGCAACAUGCAGUAGAUGAACAUCAAACAGGACAUCACAAGGAAACAAACAAGGAGAGGAAAAAAAAAAAAAACCUAGCCUUGAAAACACAAGGCAAAAAAAAUAAAAAAAAUAUAUAUAAUCAAUCAAUUAGCACUUUCCAAUGUAUAUACUGAUUCAACACAAAUUUCAAAUAAACAAUAUACAUUCAUAUACUUCUGUGUACGGAAUUUCUUUGUAUGAUUUUUCUUUCCUUAUUUGGCAUUCCCUUUUUAACAAUAUAAGCAUUGCACUUAAAUUUUAUGCAGUCACUUGCAUAAUUAUCUUAUUUGACACACAAAGCAUAUUAAUUAUUGGUAUUUCACAGGAAUUACCAUUACUUUUCUCUCUAUUUCUCUCUUAGGUCUGUGUCCAUCAUUUAUCACCACACCAAAUAAAUGGUUAAUUUACGAAACACAUUUUUAACAAGACUUCAAACCAUAUUGUAAAGAAAAUAAAAUGAAACCACAUCAACUCACCAAGGAAACGCAUUCAAAUGUAUAUGAAAAUCCAGAAAACUCCCGAUGAUCCACG
ensembl:lncRNA